UACGUAGGGACCAAGCGUUGUUCGGAUUUACUGGGCGUAAAGGGCGCGUAGGCGGCUUAACAAGUCACUUGUGAAAUCUCCGGGCUUAACUCGGAACGGCCAAGUGAAACUGUCAAGCUAGAGUGCAGAAGGGGCAAUCGGAAUUCUUGAUGUAGCGGUGAAAUGCGUAGAUAUCAAGAGGAACACCUGAGGUGAAGACGGGUUGCUGGGCUGACACUGACGCUGAGGCGCGAAAGCCAGGGGAGCAAACGGG
rnacentral:rRNA from 1 species